rnacentral:rRNA from 1 species
AAUCAACGCUGGCGGCGCGCUUAACACAUGCAAGUCGCACGAGAAAGGGGGCGAACCCUGAGUAAAGUGGCGCACGGGUGAGUAACACGUGGAUGAUCCACCUCUUUGUGGGGAAUAACUCUGGGAAACCGGAGCUAAUACCGCAUAAGCUCGAGAGAGGAAAGCAGAAAUGCGCAGAGAGAGGAGUCCGCGGCCGAUUAGCUAGUUGGCGGGGUAAAAGCCCACCAAGGCUUCGAUCGGUAGCCGGCCUGAGAGGGCACACGGCCACACUGGCACUGAAACACGGGCCAGACUCCUACGGGAGGCAGCAGUGGGGAAUCUUGCACAAUGGGGGAAACCCUGAUGCAGCGACGCCGCGUGAGUGAUGAAGUCCU